rnacentral:rRNA from 1 species
CGGAAGAUGUAACGGGGCUAAACCAUGCACCGAAGCUGCGGCAGCGACACUAUGUGUUGUUGGGUAGGGGAGCGUUCUGUAAGCCUGCGAAGGUGUGCUGUGAGGCAUGCUGGAGGUAUCAGAAGUGCGAAUGCUGACAUAAGUAACGAUAAAGCGGGUGAAAAGCCCGCUCGCCGGAAGACCAAGGGUUCCUGUCCAACGUUAAUCGGGGCAGGGUGAGUCGACCCCUAAGGCGAGGCCGAAAGGCGUAGUCGAUGGGAAACAGGUUAAUAUUCCUGUACUUGGUGUUACUGCGAAGGGGGGACGGAGAAGGCUAUGUUAGCCGGGCGACGGUUGUCCCGGUUUAAGCAUGUAGGCUGAUUGUCCAGGCAAAUCCGGAUAAUCAAGGCUGAGGUGUGAUGACGAGGCACUACGGUGCUGAAGUAACAAAUGCCCUGCUUCCAGGAAAAGCCUCUAAGCAUCAGGUAACAUUAAAUCGUACCCCAAACCGACACAGGUGGUCAGGUAGAGAAUACCAAGGCGCUUGAGAGAACUCGGGUGAAGGAACUAGGCAAAAUGGUGCCGUAACUUCGGGAGAAGGCACGCUGGUGUGUAGGUGAAGUCCCUGCGGAUGGAGCUGAGACCAGUCGAAGAUACCAGCUGGCUGCAACUGUUUAUUAAAAACACAGCACUGUGCAAACACGAAAGUGGACGUAUACGGUGUGACGCCUGCCCGGUGCCGGAAGGUUAAUUGAUGGGGUUAUCCGUAAGGAGAAGCUCUUGAUCGAAGCCCCGGUAAACGGCGGCCGUAACUAUAACGGUCCUAAGGUAGCGAAAUUCCUUGUCGGGUAAGUUCCGACCUGCACGAAUGGCGUAAUGAUGGCCAGGCUGUCUCCACCCGAGACUCAGUGAAAUUGAACUCGCUGUGAAGAUGCAGUGUACCCGCGGCAAGACGGAAAGACCCCGUGAACCUUUACUAUAGCUUGACACUGAACAUUGAGCCUUGAUGUGUAGGAUAGGUGGGAGGCUUUGAAGCGUGGACGCCAGUCUGCGUGGAGCCAACCUUGAAAUACCACCCUUUAAUGUUUGAUGUUCUAACGUUGGCCCCUGACCGGGGUUGCGGACAGUGUCUGGUGGGUAGUUUGACUGGGGCGGUCUCCUCCCAAAGCGUAACGGAGGAGCACGAAGGUUAGCUAAUCCUGGUCGGACAUCAGGAGGUUAGUGCAAUGGCAUAAGCUAGCUUGACUGCGAGCGUGACGGCGCGAGCAGGUGCGAAAGCAGGUCAUAGUGAUCCGGUGGUUCUGAAUGGAAGGGCCAUCGCUCAACGGAUAAAAGGUACUCCGGGGAUAACAGGCUGAUACCGCCCAAGAGUUCAUAUCGACGGCGGUGUUUGGCACCUCGAUGUCGGCUCAUCACAUCCUGGGGCUGAAGUAGGUCCCAAGGGUAUGGCUGUUCGCCAUUUAAAGUGGUACGCGAGCUGGGUUUAGAACGUCGUGAGACAGUUCGGUCCCUAUCUGCCGUGGGCGCUGGAGAAUUGAGGGGGGCUGCUCCUAGUACGAGAGGACCGGAGUGGACGCAUCACUGGUGUUCGGGUUGUCAUGCCAAUGGCACUGCCCGGUAGCUAAAUGCGGAAGAGAUAAGUGCUGAAAGCAUCUAAGCACGAAACUUGCCCCGAGAUGAGUUCUCCCUGAGACUUUAAGUCUCCUGAAGGAACGUUAAAGACGAUGACGUUGAUAGGCCGGGUGUGUAAGCGCAGCGAUGCGUUGAGCUAACCGGUACUAAUGAACCGUGAGGCUUAACCUU